GACGUAGGGCGCGAGCGUUGUCCGGAUUUAUUGGGCGUAAAGAGCUCGUAGGCGGCUUGUCGCGUCGUUCGUGAAAACCCGGGGCUCAACUCCGGGCUUGCGGGCGAUACGGGCAGGCUAGAGUUCGGUAGGGGAGACUGGAAUUCCCGGUGUAGCGGUGAAAUGCGUAGAGAUCGGGAGGAACACCCGUGGCGAAGGCGGCCAGUCUGGACCAGCACGUGACGCUGAGGCACGAAAGCGAUGGGGAGCAAAGCAGG
rnacentral:rRNA from 1 species